CACUGGAGCACAGCAUGGGUGGGGAAAACGUUUGCAUGUGAUUUCUGUUUAAAAAUAUAUCUAUUUAUGUAUUCAUUUAAUUUAAAUGAAGCUAUCAAAGCUACCUUUUUAUACUGCAUUAUAUAUGUGGUUCUCAAAUCUUUUACAAGUACUUCCAAAAAAAACUGAGCAAUCCAGGUACUAACAUUACCUUGCUUAGAUAGUCAAAAUUCAGACAAAGAUUAUUUUUCUAGAAAGUGUUUUUAAUAUUAUUGUCAGUGGCCAUAACAUUGAUCUACCAAAUGGGCACCCCUGCACUAGAAUAUUGGAAAAUGUACAUAGUUAAAUGAUUCAAUUAAAAUAUAUUGCACAAAAGUAAAUAAUUGUGACAAAAGGUCCAUCUGUACCGGUAUUAAAAGUUAAAUACAACUGAACUGUAAUCAACAAUUCUACUGGAUUAAAAAAAGUUUUUAGCCACUAUAAAUGCAUAGUCUGAACAUUCAAUUUGCCUAUUACAAGAGGGAACCUGCACCACAUCACUCACAAUUUUAGUGACAAAAAACGCUUUGUUCCUUAUUUUCCUUUUUUUUCUUUGUUAGUUAACAUAAGCCAAUUCCUUAAUUUUUUAUAUGUUCAUUGUGACCUUAAAACUCAUUUUAAAAUGGGAUUCUCUAUAUAAGGAGUGAACAUAUAUUAAAUGUAGUUGUAUUAACGUCUUGAAUCCACAAGGGGGCGAUGUAAACGUUUUCAUAGGCCAAUGCUGAAGAAAUUAGGUUUUGCUACUCUGUGGAGUAGUCAUUGUACAGCUUGUGUAGCACAGUACAUUCACUGUCCCAUAGAUAUAACUCGGCACACAGCCACACUGCAGGCAGCAAAACUGAGUACACUCCAAACUGAAAACAUCCAACUUGCACCCAAUUAGCUAUGUGCCUUAUCCCUACCUACCGGUAUAUGUGACUCAUUUGUGUUACAAGGUCUCAGGUGUGAAUGAGAAAUAGAUGUGUUACGUUAAUCACAAGGACACAAGGGGACAAUGGCGGCCCCCAGGAACGGGAAUACUACAUCCGGUUCCAUGUACGUACUAUUAUUAUUAGCUGCCAGCAGCUGGGAAUGCAUGGCAGAUCUGCAGCAGAAGCUUUAGAUAAAACGUCUAAAGAUAGACUUUGGCUAUCAGCAUCAGGCUAGCCACUUGACUUUUAUGUGCACAACUCGUCCAUGGAAAGCCAUUUCAGCAUUUAUUCCGUAUCCUUCAUAUCCAUCUUAAUACUCUUUUGUAAAGACUCUAGU